UACGAAGGGGGCUAGCGUUGCUCGGAAUCACUGGGCGUAAAGCGCACGUAGGCGGAUCUUUUAAGUCAGGGGUGAAAUCCUGGAGCUCAACUCCAGAACUGCCUCUGAUACUGGGGAUCUUGAGUCCGGAAGAGGUAAGUGGAACUGCGAGUGUAGAGGUGAAAUUCGUAGAUAUUCGCAAGAACACCAGUGGCGAAGGCGGCUUACUGGUCCGGUACUGACGCUGAGGUGCGAAAGCGUGGGGAGCAAACAGGG
rnacentral:rRNA from 1 species